UACGUAGGAGACGAGCGUUGUCCGGAGUUACUGGGCGUAAAGGGUGCGCAGGCGGCCUUGCGCGUCGCGAGUGAAAUCUCCCGGCUCAACUGGGAGGGUGGUCGCGAGACGGCAGGGCUUGAGGCUCGGUGAGGGGCGUGGAAUCCGGGUGGAGCGGUGAAAUGCGUAGAGAUCCGGAGGAACACCGACGGCGUAGGCAGCGCCCUAGACGAGACCUGACGCUCAGGCACGAAAGCGCGGGGAGCGAACAG
rnacentral:rRNA from 1 species